GGGCCGGGCGGAUUGGUCCAGCAGGACACCAUGCGAGUCCCUGCUAGCAGGAUCCCAUGCAAACAUCUGCGGGCCGGCUGAAGCUUGCUGCUGGCCUCCACGCUUUCGGGUUUGCGUUCCAGCAGCUGGAACACAACACAGAAGCUAUUACCUGCUCCGUCCUGCUGCCACUUCCGGGUGCCGUUAGCCAGGAGCAGUGAGUGUGUGCGGUUGCUGGGCUCGAGCUGUGUGUUAGUGGAAACGAUGUGACAUGCACACCUGUUUCCACUGCCAUUUGCUGUGUAGGGGCCGGACAGAGCUGCCAGGAUGGUCAGAGGUGAAGCUGCUUAAUCACCAGCGUCAGACAGUGUGCUGGGAAAUGAGGAUCUUCUGAAGAUGGAAGACGAUCUGAUUGGAUAGUAUGGGGGCAGGUGGAAGGUGUACUGUGCCUUGCUGAACACUGUCUGCAAGUGCAGCAGGAAAGGUCCCAUCCAGGAAGCCAAUCCUUGACCACGGGCUGAUAAUUUCUCCAACUGCGAUCAGUUAAAGAAGUAUUGCACUCUUUCGGACAAUACAAAAGAUGGAUUCCAAGCUUCAUGCAAUUGUAACAAUAAUGAAAUGAUAUAACGUCUAUGCAGGCGGACCUAAUAAGAAUGAAGACAUUUAGUGAACAAUAUUUUGUGUGCAGACAACCACUACAUUAUUCUAUUGUAUCUGUGCAAUAUCCUGUUAUUCAUUGCAAUAAAUCAGAUGCUACUGUAGCUUUCACUAGUG